GGAUGAGGAUCUAUAGGAAAGUCUUGAGAGCUGUCAAAGUAAUGUUUUUUCCAGCAGCAAACUCUUAACCUUCUCUUAGAUCUUCUUCUCUGCUUUGUCCCCUGCUCGCCAUGUGAUGAAGAGAUGCUGUGGCUGAGGCAAUGCUCAGCUGCAGCCAUCAGGAUAAAGAAGACACACCGUCAGUUGUUUUAUUUUUGAUCCCAUUUGAAUGUGUCACUCAGCUGUCUUGAAUCAAAGAAAGUGAGAAGGUGCCUUAAACAGUUGUGAUCAGAAACUUCAAACUUACCUUUUUUUUUUUUUUUUCUAGAAGCUAAGUAAAUGGCUGGUGGGCUCCUGUAAAUCAUAACAUUUCUAAAUAUACCUGAGAGUCUCUCUGCCAAGCUGCUGACGAAUACUCUGUCUGUUCCUAUUGACUUCUCUUCCCCCUUCAGAUUACUUUUGCUUUGAAUAGUUUCAAAUCAUAAAGCAAAAAAAAUAAAAUAAAAAAAAUCAUGUAAUGAGACUAGCUGAUGCUGUGAUUAAUGAAAGUGUAAUGAGAGCUACCAUACAGCCAUUACAAACCAGUUAGCUAAUUAGUGUAAUCACAGAGGUGGAAAUAAUUAAAAGACCACAAAGCAGAAGUAGCCUAAUAACAGCCUUUUCCUCUGACCCAGAACUGGAGAGAAAAGGAUGCUUUGGUUUGCUGGGUCAGGGCCAAAAAGGAACUGAGACUGAAGGGCCUGGAAGCAACCACGGUGCGUGAGGUGUCAGGGCUGGAUCAGACAAGGAUAAAUGGAGCAGAUUUACACCCGUGUAACCCAGAUUGCAUCCGAGUCCUCUGCCGAUGGCACCACGUUACAGCAGCCCUCUCCCAGCUCUUUCCAUUGCCUGCCCGUUCCCUCACCAAGCCCUGAGCAUCCCCUCUCCAACACCUGCUGCACUGCAAAGAAAAGAAGAGUGGUGGUAAACUGAUCCGGAGAUGGCACUGAUGGUGAGGCAGGAUCCGACCUGCUCUCUUCCUUUCUUAUUUUUUUGUCCAUUUUUGUUUUUUUCACAGGUCAUUGACAAAGGCUUUAUUCACCUUGCAGCCAAACUUGGUUUCUGGAGGGGGAGAAACCAGCAUCCUAAGGUGCUUUUAGAAGAACCCCCUGUUUGAGGAUUCUUCUUAUUUUUAUAGUUUAUAUGUAUGUCUGUAUGCCAUUCACUCUGAUUUCACAGGACUCUAACCACUGGUUGAAAAAUCUCCUGCUAACAGGGAGAAGUCUGGGCCAAGGGUGCGGUGCUGGGGUGUGUGGUGCUCAUCUCCAGAGCUGCGGCUGUGAGCAGGGCACCAAGCGGCUCUGUUGUCCUCACCUCCUGGCACCGACAACCCCGAGUCACUGGGUGAACCCAAAACAACCCUGAAAUGCUGCUCAGCUGCUUCUCCAAGGGGUCUCCCAUCCAGGACCGCUAAUGAGAGACGCAGGAUGGUGUGCGGAGCUGGAUUUCACCCUGGUAAUUAGAAGUGACCUACCUCUUGCUGCAAGAUGAAAUAGCUCCAUUUGACGGGCUAUAAAAAAUCCUAACUGGUAAUUUUCCAGUUGGGAUGGGUCAUCGUUGCGGCCAUCUCCAUCGGCUCUUAUCAUUUCUGCCACGGUUCUGUGUGUGUUUCAUUUGACCCGGGUAUAAUGAGCAAAGGAGAAGAAAGUAGCUGCAGACACACAAUCAACGAUCAUCUGCCGGAGCUGAUGAAUAUGCCAAGACUGCUAAGUGGGUCCUCAUUAGCUAUUCACAUGCUAAGAGCCAUCUUUAUUUGUUCUUCUCUCCUAGGUGGAUCUAUAUUUGAAUAUCUUUACUAUAUCCACCCAGGGGGUGGAUGGAGGAUUACCACCACUGUCAGGUAACCCGAGUAUUUUCCUGGAAAAAAAUAGAUCGUGACACCAAGCUGGCAGCAGGCUGAAAAGAAGAAACAAUGUGAUGCCAUUUAGCGAGGGAAGAAAUAAUUUUCCCUGAUGACACCUCUAGUGGGAGGCAGAACUUUAUCUUCCCCUCGCAGCUCAAAUGGAGCAUCACAGCAGUAGCAUUAAGUUUGCUUCCACGUUUCCAACGUGUCUUUUCAUUGACUAUUUUUUUUUUUGGCUGUAGCUGUGCAAACAGAUUUCCAGGGUAAGAGCAGGGGCUGUCCUGCUCGGAGGGUUUGCAGGGCUGUGGGUGGCAAUGCAAGGCCAGGGCAUCCCAUCCAGCUGCAGCCAAAGGGACCCCUCUGCAGCUCUGUGUGCCCGCUGGUGAGCAGGGUUUGAACUUUCUCCUUUCGGCUUUCUGUAAAAGCUGCAGUUCUUUGUGUGCUGGGACAGGGGCUGGCUCUUUGCAGGAUGCUUCUCCCCUCCCUGGAGCAUCCAUCCGCGGGGAAGGCUGCCCUCUCCCGACACGAGGAGCGAGGCAGCAGCUGAGCUGCACCCAGCACCCUCGGCCAGCACCCACCCUGCUCCCAUCCGCACCCUGCAGGGCCCAGAGAUGUCCCUGUCUGGUGAGCCCAACACAACCCGAGGUGUCCCCAAGGUGUCCUGACCCCCCCACCAGCUCCAGGAUCCAGCCUGCAUCCCUCCUCCAGCAUCGUGUGGGAGCUGCUUGGGAAACCACCCCACUCACAGCAUCUCUUCUGCACAGGGUUGCCUUCUCACCUGCCCCAUUCCUGCUCUCCCAGGUGUGCCCAGCACCUUUUUUAAAAAAAAAAUAAAAAUCUGACAGUGUGUGGGUGAGCAACAUAUUCAUCUGUGUGAGCUAUUUCCAGCUGAGUCUGUAUGUGCUGGAGACGGUGGGGUGACAAAGAAGCAAAGUCACAUUUGUUUGUGUGCUGCUCCAGGAAAGCAUUUUUCUAUGAGCAGCAACCCACAAGUAAGCGCUUGCACCUCCAGGGUUUGCAAACAGCUGAUCUAGGAGAGAUUACUUUUUUUUUUUUUCUUUGUGCUUUUGACCUUAUUUGCUGAAAAUGAAACAUCAUCUAACCUUCCAGGAAAUGCCACAAUUCUUCGAUCUGACAGAAGAACAUAAAUCUUCCCUAAGUGCACAGCAGCUCAGGGCUCAGCUGGAACUGAGCAGGAUCUGGGCAUCCCAAACCAGGGCCAGCGGGACCCGAGCCACGCACCUCUCCUGUCCAGAGAGCAGCAGCCUCAUGGGACUGGUCGUUGCCUUUGGGCUGAGCUGGUUUUCCAUCAGUUAUUCAUGGAAAAAAAAAAUGGGUUUUGGGGGUCUGAAUCACUUUGAUCCUGUUAAAGUUUAGUGGGACCCUUCCCUCCCAGGUUGGACUGAAACAAUCACACACUGCCCUGCCCCAUAUCCCCAGUCAUCUCUGGGGAGCAGAAGGCUCGUGAAAGCCAUUGCAAAGCUGAAAUUUCGGGCUCUGCAGGUGGAGUGGACAUGGUGAGAGGCCUUGCAGAGUGUAAUAGCCCUGUUGCUUUCUCAGUUUUCCCCCACCACAUUUCUUGAGCAGGAUGCUGCGGCUUCCUUCUCUGUCCGUGCCGCCAGCCCUCGCGGUUUCCACCUCCCCAGCUAUUUCGGGGGACCCGUGGUUGUGCUGAAGGUUUGAAGGGGCCAGAGAGGGAACUGGAACGUGUCAUGCUGCUCACCACAUGGGGCCUGAGCAGCCCUGAGGGUUGGCUGAAGGUAGGAACUACGUGUGGGAAAGCGCAGCUCAUGCUGCGCUGCUUUCCACCACCCACUCAUCGAGAGCUCCGUUUGCUCAAGUGCACGCUUUUAGACCCAAGCUGUUGGUGCUUCACACAGGGCAUAGUCAUCCACGUGCAGGUCUCUCUCCUUCUUGGCUUGCUGCUAGAGCAGGCCUCCCCUAGGCCCCGCAGGAAUCAGAGCUGUGUUUUCCUCUGGAUCAGGUCUGGGACAGUCCUUCUGGGGAGGAGGAAUUUAACUGAACCCGCAAUGCUAAUAGUACCAUUAUCCCCAUCCCAAAAUCCACAGAAAUAUAAAGUUGCUUUUUCUUUUUUUUUCUUUUUUUUUUUUUUAAUCUUGACCAACUUUCCUUGUUUUACCACUAGAUGGGAGAGUGAGACUGGUCUAACGCAGCCGCUCCCGUCUUUAUCCCAACAGGAAUUCAGAGGGGAGUUGGGAAUUGAGAAAUACACUCAAGUCAAUUCUCUGGUGCCAGGGGCAGAACUGAAGACACAUCCUGCACAUUUUCUGACCUCGGGAAUGGAGUGGGUAAACCCCAAAAAUGUAUUUUGGGCCGUGUUAUGGGUGAACCCCAAAAGUGCAUGGCUGUGGCAGCACCGAUGCUUGCGUGUCCCUGUGGCAGCUCCUCUGCCCUCAUGCGAGGAAGAAUCAGGAUUGGGUGUGUUUUGGGAAUUACAGAGUUGCAGAAGCACUUUCUCCACCAAACCAAAGAUUGCCCAAUUGGCCUAUUUUUUUGUUAUUAUAUGGUUUGGGGUUUGCAAGAAUGACCAUGUCUUCUUUCUUCCUGGGAUUUCACAGAUUCUGGAAGAAAUCUUAUAACAGCCAAAUUUUCUGACUGCCUGCAUGACUAGUGCAGAAUACGCAACCCCUGUAAUUUGAAAAUCAUCUUUUGGGCGUUUUGCUGCCUACCCAACCUCCUCAGUUCACAAGCUUUUUAGAGAAGUGACGCACCUGAUUUGUUUAAUGUCUGGGCCAGUUGUGCCCUAAAAUUAAAUAAUCCUGAUAAACCUCCCAAACUGCAAUGCCCUCGUUGCCUCUUUUGGGGUUUCCUGGUUGUGCUCCUAUAGGAAACAUCUGCCGUUAUCAUGCUAGAGAGAAAUACCAGGUUCGUUGGAAGAGGAAGCUGGGUUCUUACUGGAUGCAGUUACUCCUGUUUUCCACAAACCACCUCCCACUCCGUGCGUGCAGUGCUGCUGCUGAGUCACCCAGCACGGAGCAAGCAUCCUGCUCGGGAUGGGGAGGACAAAUUCCCCAAAGGAGCUGAUAAAUACAGAUGAAAAAAAUGUUGCCUGGAAGCAAUAAACCAAUUGAAAUUCCAGCUCUGGCAGGGUCAGGGCACGCUCGCUUGUGCAAAUGCAGCUUCUUGCUGCGGGGUUCAUGGCGGUACAGGAACAGCCCUGGCUAAAGGUGUGGCUGGGGUCACCUGGAUCUGGGCACAUGUGGGACUUGGGAUGGGGAUGAGGAGCAUCCAUGGGGUGUUUCUAAUGGACAGUAUUCAUAUAUCUACCUCUGGCCAUGUAUUCUUGUGUGAGAAGUCACCGCCCUUAGCCAAGUGCCUAUUGCUCCCUGUGAUCCUCAUUCAUAAAGCACUGGGUGAGCAGGAGGACAUAUGAAAGCUCCUGUGGUACAGGACCACUGCCAUAACACUGCUCUGCUUUUCUCUGGUCCCAAUCUUUACAUCCCUUUCCUAUCAUCUCCCCUUUCCAUCCUGGAAGACAAGAAAAGAGCACUAACCGGGGAGAGGAGCUGCAAAAACAGGUGUGCGAUGUGCACCCAGGACCCAAGGGGCCAACUUCUGACCUCUGCUGAGUGCUGGAGAUGCCACAGCUUGUCACUGUCUGAUAGCUGCCAGCGUGCCGAAUGCCAAGUCAUUCUUCAGCAAUGAGAUGUUGAGCUGAUUAAGGUUUUAAUUAGAACAAGGAAGCGGCACGUGCAAGGACGGCUUCAGAUGAGAAAGACGUGGCAGCUGCCAAGAUAGAGCUGCUCCUGGCUGUAUCCCAUCAACCUUUCUGGUGAAUGGCACUGAGCCUUCAGUUUGCUCUGCUGCAGGGCUAGGAGAGGAAAAAGGAUUUGAGCAUGGCCCAAAGCUGUGGUUAGUGGGGCUUAUUUCAGGAGUGCUCAGCUACCUGUGAAACCCAAGCCUGGCCAUAUGGAUGGGGCAGAGUCCAGGGUGACUGGCCUGCAUUCCUGGCAUUUACUGCACUCAUAAACAGCCCUGGCAGCGACAGGAAGGGUGCAAACUUUGAACUUAUAAUGCAUCAGCACCGAGACCAAGAUGGAGUAGAAGACACACAAAAAAAAAAAAAAGUGUGUUGCUGCAGGCUGCAGCCAGAGCCCUUUGGUAGCUGCCUGCCAGCAUCGCAGCAUCUGUGUGGAUUCUCGUGACGGUGAUCAAGGGCAGCUCCAUCGAGUGGGAAAGGAGACAGAGGAGUUUUCUUCUUCCCCAGGGACACACACAGCUCCCAGCCAAGGUGCAGAGGCUGCCCGUGCUGGUGGACAGGCACAAAUCAGGUGAAAAAUGCUCCAUGGUGAGCACCUGCCCCAGCACACUGUGACAUCCCCCAGGUGGGAGCUCUGCACCAAGGGGUAGAGCCGAUAUUUGCUCGGAUCCUGAUGCACACAGACUUGCAGGCGCUUUGGAUUUCACAAUCGGGUCCAAUCUCUCCUUUAGACCUUGAUCCUGCAAGGAGCACUAUAAGGAUGGAUUUUAGAAAUCAGAUAGAGCUGGCGAGAUCUGGGCCUUAUCUAAGAUAGCAAAAUAAUCAGCCAUGUGAUUUCUUCCCUGUGUUUACAGUGGCAAUAUUUUUCCAAAGUUCAAAGUCUUCCUCUGCAGAAAACAUUUGCCAUACUUUGCAGUGAUACUGUAGUUUUGGUGCAAUGAACAAUUAAAAAAAUCAAUUUCUAGAGCAAUAUUUUCUAUGCUAGUAAUCUCUGAACUAAUUACAGGGCUGGAAAAUCAAUAACUAUCUGGAAAUCUUUCCAAUACAGCUAACUAAGCACGCUACAUAUCAUGCUGCAAUAUAUCCUUCACAUACACGUGAUAUUCCUGAUUAUCUCCCAGAUCAUACAGGCAGAUGAGAUCGCUGUCAGUAAGCGUCUGUACUUUGCUACGCUGCAGUGCCAACUUUCACUAAAAUCCAAAGGGGAAUCUGGGCAGAGAGAAUAGCACAGUGUGUGAGGGCUGCGGCAACACUCAUAAAAGCCAAGGCUUUAAGCCAACAACAAAAAGAGUUAAAAGGCUUGGUCAGUUUAACAGGAAUCUUUCUUUGAAAAGAUUAUGAAACAAAGUCAUUAAAAGUUCAAGCCUCAGUUAUAUUGCUUUUUCAUCAGACUUUAUUU